ACGCUCGACACCUACGGGAAGCAGCAGUGGGGAAUAUUGCACAAUGGGGGAAACCCUGAUGCAGCGACGCCGCGUGGAGGAAGAAGGUCUUCGGAUUGUAAACUCCUGUUGUUGGGGAAAAAGAGGAUGGUACCCAACAAGGAAGUGACGGCUAACUACGUGCCGGCAGCCGCGGUAAUCUGAGCGGGCUGGCAAGGC
rnacentral:rRNA from 1 species